rnacentral:rRNA from 1 species
AGAGUUUGAUCAUGGCUCAGAACGAACGCUGGCGGCGUGGAUAAGACAUGCAAGUCGAACGGGACUACUCUGAGUAGCAAUACCUGGAGUAGUUUAGUGGCGAACGGGUGCGUAACACGUGGACAAUCUGCCUUAAAGUGGGGGAUAGCUCGGCGAAAGCCGAAUUAAUACCGCAUGUGAUCAGCCAAGACAUCUUGGCGAAAUCAAAGACGGCGCAAGCUGUCGCUUUUUGAGGAGUCCGCGGCCUAUCAGCUAGUUGGUGAGGUAACGGCUCACCAAGGCUUUGACGGGUAGCUGGUCUGAGAGGACGACCAGCCACACUGGAACUGAGACACGGUCCAGACACCUACGGGUGGCAGCAGUCGAGAAUUUUUCUCAAUGGGGGAAACCCUGAAGGAGCGACGCCGCGUGGAGGAUGAAGGUCUUCGGGUUGUAAACUCCUGUCAUUUGGGAACAAGUCGUACGUAGUAACUAUACGUGCGUUGAUAGUACCAGAAGAGGAAGAGACGGCUAACUCUGUGCCAGCAGCCGCGGUAAUACAGAGGUCUCAAGCGUUGUUCGGAUUCAUUGGGCGUAAAGGGUGCGUAGGCGGCGCGGAAAGUCGGGUGUGAAAUUUCGGAGCUUAACUCCGAAACUGCAUUCGAUACUCCCGUGCUUGAGGACUGGAGAGGAGACUGGAAUUUACGGUGUAGCAGUGAAAUGCGUAGAGAUCGUAAGGAAGACCAGUGGCGAAGGCGGGUCUCUGGACAGUUCCUGACGCUGAGGCACGAAGGCCAGGGGAGCAAACGGGAUUAGAUACCCUAGUAGUCC